GUGCUCCUACAUUGGAGUCAUAAAUUUAAUAUGACAUAAAACAACACACGAUAUGUCCGUUUUCACUCCCCAACACAGUAUUGUCCACUAAGAAGAACGUGUUGUCAAACACAAAACCAACAUGGAUUUUAAAAAGACAGCUAAAAGUCUGUGGAAUAACCAGUUUGUUUGGUAACAGAAGUUUUGUUUUUCACAUAGAACUAACGGUAUUAUAGGGCAACCUUCCCUUCCUGUAAAGUUCGACGUGUUACAUAAUAAUUUUCAUAUCACUCGUCCGCCUCGGGUCAUGUUGUUAUGAAGUUAUGAAUGAUUCUUUCAACAUCGGAGCAACUUUUGUAUAAUUCUUCAGUUUUAUUUAUAUGCUAGGAAAGCUGAUAAAAUGGACACUUCUAUCUCUAGUAAUGAUAGUCUAAUGCCUUUUGGAUUUGGAGGUCAACAGGGGCGUAGCUUACGUUGAGGCAACAGAACCCGAGGCAGUUAACUGAGGCAACUGCUUCGGUAAAAAAAAAAAUUUCCUUCACUGUAUUUUCUUUUAAAUGAUUAUUGCAGCAAACUGGCUACUAAACAAUAAUGUAGCAACGUGUUAUGUCAUGUUGGCGUGGUUAUUGAUUCAUACCCUUUACGAAUUAUUCAAGACUUAUGGGAACAUAAAUUUGAAUUAAUUUUCCCUCCUCUACUUGGAAAUGCCCUUUACGGUAGUUUUAUGUAAUUCGAGUUUGUCAGAGUAAAAGGAAAUCGACAACACAUUUAUUUUGUCCUACCCCAUUGCAAGCGAAAACAGUCAAUUAGUUAAUUUUGUGUCAGAAUAAUUUCUAGUAUAUGAGGGCCUGGGUGAGGUUUUAACAGAAAAAUCAGCCCUGAAAUUAAUUUAAAUUUAAAAGAAUAUGGAUUUAAAAUGGUUCUAAGUUAUAAAAUAAAGAAAAUUCAAAUUAUGGGCGACAAUAAUUAAAAAAUUAAUAUUUGAUAAUCCCAUUCUAAGCAUUCAAACCCUCAAUUAUAACCGUUGACAUGUUCCCCUACGACUAUGUUCAUUGACUUUGGUGCUAAACAAUGCUUUUUUUAUUUCAAAAACACUCCGUCACAUUGACAUGUGAAAUAAGAGGUAAAUUACAGAAAAUACAAAAUACAAUCACAUACAAUUAAAGAAAUAAAUAAAACAACUUAACAAAACUAAACAAAACAAAAUAUGCAGUUAUAUAUUAUAGUGCACAGAAAAUAAUUUAUAUGUUUUGGUUCUCAAGUUUUUAAAUUCAUAGUACGUUUUCACAAGCAGGGAAUUUAAAAUAUUUAAAGGAAUCACUAAUUCCAGAGAAACAUGUCUGUUAGUUAAUACAUAAUGUCAGUUUAUACUAGAACACACCCGUAUAUCGCAGGUCCGUGACUGAAUUAAAGUAUAUAACUAUGCGCAAGCCUUAUUUUAGUAUGAGUAUUGUCAUCUGAUAAAGUCAUGCUGAUUAUAAGAUACACAGUUUUCUCUGCUUUCAAAUCUUUCUGUUUGAACCCGUCAAACUGGAACUUAUGAAUUAUUGAUAAUAUUAAUUAUUUGGAAAACAAAAGGUCCUGGAAUGGAGUAUUUUUUAAUCAACAGCAUUGUCCUAUAUUAGUUAUAAAUAUUGAAUUCUUUGAUUCGCUGUUUUACGUCAUGCCCGCUAACAAAUUGAAAACUGUACCUAUACGCCUUAUUUUAGUCCAGAUUUUUAGUAUUCGUAUUGUUAUCUUAGAAAAUCUAACUGAUUAAAAUACUACAAUAGGUAACAAUUUGACUAUUAAGUAGUGUCAACCCUGUGAUUAUGACCCGUGUAAUACUAUAUAGCAUAUUAAUCCUGAAUACACCGUUUGGUGGUGCGCCUGUCAGAUGCGGAACGUACAGAUAAGGUAAUCGGUAACAGGUGAAUAUGGUAUUGGUAUUGGACUCGACCCGGAACUUCUUAAUUAUUGGCAAUAUUAAUUACGUGGAAAACAAAAGGGCCUGGAGUGGUGUAAUUUUUAAUCUACAUCUUUGUACUAUAUUAGUUAUAUAUAAAGUUGAAUUCUUUGAUUCGUCGUUUUUACGUGAUGACGGCUGACAAAUUGGACCUCGUAAUUUUAGUAUUAUAGAUAUAUAAAAAAAUCAAACAAAUACUGUUCAUUUAUAAUGAAGACUUCAGAAUAAAGUAAAUGUUAGUUAUUCGCCGCUUGUCAUGUUCAUCGUGAAUAAAAAAAAAAGUUAAAAAUUAUUCAAUAUGUAAUUUCAACACCUUCGAAGCAAUACACCAUUAAAACAAGUGUUUUACAUGUAGCAUAUGUUUUUCUCCUAGUUUAUCCUGAAAUUCGUUUGUUCAAUCAAGCUGUCAUUUUGUGGUGAUUAUCUAUAAUUCGUUGAUUUGUGACCUACGACCAAAUAUAUGAUCAUCACAAAACUUAUUACAAAUAAACCUUAAUGUUUGCGUUGUUUUUUUUUCUGUACUUUUCUGAAAAUUUUGUACAGGUUUCAUCUAUCCACCAAACAAGGUCAUGAUUUCUUGUGAUAUGACGUGUGAGGUACAGCCAACUAUAUUAGAGUGUACUACGGCUUGGAAAUAUAUUGGGAGCCAUAAGGCAUUUGAGCUGGCUUUCACGUAUUUUGUUAUUUUUAUAAAUUUGAGUAUAGAUAGUAAGGCAUAUAAUUAACUCUAUUAUGAUGAAAUAGCAUUGAACAGCAACUAUCUUUAACGAAUUUUUCUUGUUCAAAUUGUAAAAACCUCUUAUAGUUUCGGGGGGGGGCUGCGCCCCUGACCCCCUGCCUCGAUAUAAACAGAAGACAAGCUACGCCACUGGUCAACUUGCUGUUUUCUGCUGAUACAUGACAUGAUUCUUGUUUGGCUUAGGUCUGAAAACAUCUGUGACAUGGAAUGACUUUUUUUUAUAUGAUUUAUGAUAAAAACAGCAACUUUUUCUAAAGAUGAGCAGUCCUGACAUGAGUCGGUUAAAAGCUCAUUAGAGCUUAUGUUGUCACUGUUUGUAUACCUUGCCGACUCUGAAUAAAGCUUGUUUAUUUAUGAGUUUAUGAGUUUAUGAAGAAGCUAUAUACAGCUCAUACAUGUAGUUAAACCAUUAGUAUUUUUAUAUAAAGUAAAUUACAAGGCAGCAAUAGAAGUUAUCAACUUAGGCCACACCAAUUUGAUUCCUUGUUCCACGGACCUGUCCGCACCUAUUUCUUUCAAAACAAAAUUUUUUUAUUUUUUUUAUAUUCCGCCGCUCGUGCAUCCAGAAAUGUUAUCAUGUCCAUUUCCUGCACUGUUUUUUUUUUUGUAAAUAUUAUAAAAAGAGAUCAACAUUUGUUUUUAACACAGUCUAACCUGUAUAUAACGAUUUUAAUCAUAAAAGCACCCCACCACACUGUGUAAAUAUCUGUGAGAAUAUUUGUUUCAGCAUGAAACCUAUAUAUCCAAAGUGGGAGUGCUCCGAUAUAAAUUUAUAACAGCGAAAUACCUGUAAAGAACAAAAAAUUGGUUUCUUUCCCCCUUACUUAUAUUCCCUAUCAAAAAAUGUUCGUUGUUAGAAUAAAGUACAAAGAACAUGAAUUCUGAAGUAUUUGCCUUCAACUGCAUUAUAUUGUAUGCUGGCGAAACAAAACUAUCCAAAGCCGCUGCAUGUUUAUGCACCUGUCCUGAUUGAUUCAGGGACCUGUCGUUCAGCAGUUAUCGUUUGUUGAUGUUGUUCAUUGGUAUUUUUCCGUUUGGAUAUAUAUAUUAGAUCGUUGGUUUUCCAGUUCGAAUUGUGUACGCUUAUAAUUUUGGGGUCCUUUAUAGCUUGCUGUUUGGUCUCUAUCAAAGCCCUGUGUUAAAGGCCGUACUUUGACCUGUGUUUGUUAUUAUCAGGUUGAGAACAACCCUCCCUCAGACAAGGGGUCAUUUUAAUGAUGUAGAAAAGAAAAUAGAAAUACCAAGGAUUUGUAUAGUUCUUCUAUACAAAACCUUUGAAAACUUCGAAUUUUGUACUCAAAAAAGAGAGAGUUACAUCAUAUUUUAAACAACUUUUUUCUAAAAGAGGGGUCCACUUAUAAUAUUAAACUGUUAAAGUAAAUGUGUUAAUUUAACAUGGUUAAAGUCCAGGAAUAUUACAAAAUUCUUGGACAUGUUUUGACCAUUUAAUACCAGAUAGAUAUAUAGUUCUUUGAGAAAUAUGAGCCUUUUUGUACAAACAAAUAUAUUAUAACUUAUAUUGAUCAUGUAUAACAUGUAAAAGGGAUAUUUAUAACAUUAAGGGGUUGCCCCCAAACUGAUUAUGACUUGGAUGGAGAAUUAUCUCAUUGUCAGUCACACAUACAUAGACAAAUGAUAGAGGUGUAAUACCACCAAAUCAUGGUACGUCACAUCCGGUUGUAUACGAAAGUACAUUUGUAGGUCGAAAAAAAUAUUCCCUUGAAUUUGACAGUUGUAGGUAAUUAAUCCUACAUUUUAUUGCAGUAAAACCAUUUCUGUGUCAUAAACAUAUGUCUUGGGUAUUUCAAAACACCAUUAUAUUUUAUUUGGGAUUUCUAUAGAAAAUUUUGUAAUCUUGAGGUUACAUGGUGACUAAACCUUGUACACAGAUCAAAUAAGGGGAGAAAUUUGAUUGGUUAACUUCCAAUGAUGGUUAUUUUCUUAUAUGCAAUGAAAUGUUAUGUGAAUUUUUUUUCUAUAGAACUGGACAGGAUAAAACUUUACUCAUGCCAAGUAUUUCUUUAUUUGAAACAAAGAUAAAUUCUGCACAUUUUUUUGAAAAGUGCAAAUUUAACAAAGACUAAUAGGGGAAAAUCAAUGGUGGUAUUACACCUAGACCAGAUUUAAUUAUUUCUUGGUGAACUAGGAAAAAAUACUUCAGAAAUUAAAGAAAUGUCAAAGUACAAGUGAUAAAUCAAGUUUUAAUAUUGUCAUGAUUGUCAAAACCUACUAUUUUAUGUUUACAAAAAAAAAUUAUAAUCGCUCGCCUUUACUUUUCAAGCUUCGCCUCAAAAAUUUCCAAAUUAAAUGUUUUUUUAUUAAAAUUUUUAAAUUGCUCGCUUACCCCAAAUUUUGGAGUCCAAAAAUCUAUAGAACAAGAAAUUAAAUUGGUGUGGCCUUAAACUUUGGCUUAAAGAUCGCCGCAAUAAUCAAGGUAGAAUCCAGGUACAUGUAUGAUGUAAGUAGGUAGAUGUACAUAUCAACAUCUCAUGGGUUUUCAAUCUAAUUUGAUGAUUUUUCUACUUGUCGCUAUUUUCUUUCUUUUUGUCACUUCUUAAUGCUUAUUAGUGAGACCUGUUUUUAUCCCCACUGACAUGAUCUAUGGGCAUUAUAUAUAUAUAUAUAUAUUUGUCUGUCUACGCGUCCGUCAGUUCCUUGCAAGGUCUGUCUGUCCCAAUUCAGGUUAAAGUUAUUGGUCACAAUGGUUUUUGGAUGGAGUUGAAGUCCAAUAUUAACUUGUUCUUAUAAAUAGGCCAUGCAUGCAGGUGGAAGACUGGAAAACUUAAAGAAAGAAAGAAACUUGAAACUUAGUACAUGUACACAUGUACCCUAUGAUAUGAUUUUUCCAAUUGUAAUGCCAAAUCAGAGUUAUAAACCCAAUUUCAGGGUCCACUGAAUAUAAAAAAUGAUAGAUGUGUGGGGCAUCUGUGUACCAUGGUGUACUAGGGACUCAUUCUUUUUUUAAACAUGAAAAAUUAAUUUAAUUCACAGAGAAAAUGAUUUCAUUUCAUUGAAAAUUAUGAACAUGAUAAAUUUGUAUCAUUUUAAGUAAAAAUGCAGGAGGCAAGAUUUUCACAGUUCCCCUUUUUAUCACCAUCAAGUUAUUGUUCAGUUAAAGGAUUGUAACUCAUUUAAGGGGUAGUUCCCUUUUUUGGCUGAUGUCCCUGAACUGUUAUAUUGGAUAUGCAUAUAUUUAUACAUAUAAUAUGGAGUGAUGAUAAAUGUAUUACCACAUUUCAGAAAGUCAAAACUAAGUGGUCUCCCCUUCACAUACAAAACAUGUACAAAUGUAUAUCUACAAUGUACAUCAUAAUCUAUACAAAAGUGCUUAUUAUAGCAUCUUAAUCAGAGGCGGAUUUUUUUCAGAAAAAUUUUGGUUGGUUAUAUAGGGAAUCACUGAAGGGUGACAGAAUCGGCCCCCCUUAGGCAUGUUAGGCAGUCAGUGGGCCCCUCUUAUGAAAAAUUCUAGAUCUGCCACUGUUAAUAAAUUCAUAAUUUAUAAUAGUUUAAUUGCUAUGUUCCAGACCAUAUGAGUAUUUGGACCGUACGCGUACGGUCUGGACCAUAUGCGUACUUUUUCAAAAUACUCAUACGGUCGGACCGUACGCGUACGGUCUAACUAGUAUUAAAAAAGAUGGUCAGGUUUAUCAGAUACAAAUGCAUAUAGCAGAUCAACAUAACUUAUCUAUCAAAUUAAUAUAAAAAAAAGUUCAAUUGAAAUUGCAACAAAAACUUUAUAUUUUAACUUUUUUUUAAUUCACGCUAAUUAAAUCUGUUAAUCUCUUGUAUCUAGCAUGUUGAUCAGCAAUACAUUAAUUAAAUUAUGAUCACUGAAAUUGAAGAUAUCGGAAGUAAAUAUCAUGUGGGAGGUCAAUUGUUUUGGAAUAUUUAGCAACUUUACCACAAAAAGCAAAUGCAAAGAACAUGCAUGAACUGCAUACAUGAAAAUGUAAAAAAUAUUACGUUACUUGAAUUGUGUCACCUUGGGCGAUAGUACCAAAAUAGGAUUCAGAUAUACAAAUACUUAAUUUCAAUUGUUCAUUUGUUCAUUUUAUCUAAUUGUAGUACAUUAUCAAUAACAAUUUGAAGAUUGUGAUAAAUAGUGGAAGAUAUUAUGGACAUAAUUGUGCAAAUCGUGAUACAAGCAUGAAAUUUGGUAUAACGGUUGACUAAAUGAUAAUUAGAAAAAAUCAGCUGCUGGCCAUCAAAAAUUUCCAUUUUUUCAAGAUGGCCACCGAUCAUUUUGCAAAUGGCGUCAUAUCCAAUUUGCUACAUUUUGUAAAUCUUUGAAAUCUGUGUUAUAGGUUUAAUCCAAUGUACGUUUUGAUAAAACAUAAAUAACAGUUCCUACAGUACGACAAAACAACACAUAAAUGACAAAAAAAGUGACUUCCGGUUCCAAAAUGGCGGCAAACAUUUUGAAAAUGUAUUUUUUUUUAAUUUCCAUCAUCUUAACAAGUUAUAUCACAUUCUUUGUUAUGCUUGUUUCAAUUUAAUUUAUUACCCAUAUGAUCAAAUAACAUGUAUGGUCAGCUCAUACCGGACCGUACGCGUAUACUCAUACGGUCCGACCAUACGCGUAUGGUCGGACCGUACGAGUAUACGUAUACAGUCCGGACCGUACGCGUACGGUCCAAAUACUCAUAUGGUCUGGAACAGCUAUACAUUAAUGACAUUGUAUGUUAUUUUUAGUGUGAAACUUUCAAAAAUGGAAUUAAGGAAAUGUAAAUAUGAUGUUAUGGGGAGAAAAACAACAUCAAUGAUCAAACACAAACUUUUCGUAACAAACUAAGGAAUAAAAACCAAAUAAAAAGUGGGUAAUGCAAAAACACAAUUUUAUGUCAGGCAUGCAAGCCAUUAGCUCUUUAAAAUUACAUGGAACUGGGUAAAAAAAAUAUGGAUAGGACUUAAAAUUAUUUUAAAACAUGUUUUUAUGUUUUUUAGGACAUUGGGUAAAAGUUGGGGUGUAUUCAUAGUAGCUAUUUUUGUAGCCAGAGAGAUGGCAAAUGCAGAAGCAGAACAAGCUAUCGAGGCAGCAGCCCAGAAAGUCAUUCCAACAUAAAUGUUUUACAGG
rnacentral:lncRNA from 1 species